rnacentral:lncRNA from 1 species
GCCUGUUCGAAAUCAGUCAACAUUUGGUGGAGUUUUCUGUUGAAUUCCCAGCAUUUCUCCAUUAGUUGUCUAAUGGUAAAAAUCUGGUCUACGGUGGACCUAUUUGAUCUAAAACCACAUUGGUAGUCCCAACAAUCUCUUCGGUAUAUGGUUUCAUUCUCUCUAGCAGGAUAUUGGAGAGUAUCUUAUAGCAUGUAUUCAGAAGUUAUUCCACAAUAGUUUGUGCAUUUUCUUUUGUCUUCUUUUUUAUGUAUAGGGACGAUUACGCCUCCUGUCCUCCGUGUAAUUUGUAUAAGUAUAUGUAUGGCUUUAUGGAGUGUUUCUCGCUGUCGCUGCCUGAAGCUUUGUUAUUUUUCAAUUUCUUUAUUGCCUUCACUGUUUCUUCGUACGAUGGUGGCGGUGUUUCUAUUUCGGCCGUUGGUAUAUUUGUUGGUGGCGUAUAUGCAUUUUCUUUAUCAUUGAGCAGUUCACAGAAGUAUUUCUUCCAGGUAUAAAAUCUUCUUUUCGUUGGUUAUGAGUUCUCCAUUAUUUUUUGUAAGAAAAUUUUCUUCUCUGGGUUGGUAUCCUGCUUUCUGUUUUGAGAUUUCGCUAAAACACUCUUUUGUUCUGUUAUUCUGUCUAUUUUCUUCUAUGUCCCUUAGUAUUGAUAGCUGGAAUUCCCUCUUUUUCGUUUCACCAUUCUGCGAGCUGCUAUUCUUUGAUGUCUAUAUUCUUCUAUAUUAGGUACUGUUGGUUGUAGUUGUCAGUAAACUUUUUCAACUGGUCGGUUAUUUAUGGUUAUAAUAUAUUGAUUCUGAUGAUUGGUUAGGUACUUAGUUUUGUUAAUAUUGAUUUUUAGGCUUAUUUGCUCUGAUUUCUUGUUUAGUUCUUCAAUCAUACUCUGUAGUUCAUCUUGGUCCCGUUCUAUCAAUGUGAUGGCAUCCGCAAAUUUAAGGUGACUUAGCCUUUCGCCGUUUAUGAGGAUACUUUUUUCUGCCAGUUUAGCUAUGUAUGGCUGUUGCGAUGUAGCGUUUCCAUAUAUAUAUAUUUGUAUAUCAAUAAUCGAUUCUCGCAUUGCUUAGAGCAUUCAAUACUGCCUAUCUCUAUUGAGUCGAGUGCCUUUUCAUAGUCUAUCAGUAGUACUCGAAGUGUUAUGUUGUACUCAUUUACCUUUUCCAUUAAUGUUAUUGUUACAUGUAGGUGGUCUAUAGUGCUAAAAGCCUCGUUUGAAACCCGUUUGCCCUCUCGGUGGGUCUAUUUUAUUGAUUUGGAUCAGUCCAUCAGUUUAUACAAACCAGGGCCGGCACUCACGAUACAACGGCGUCGGGCCGCUUUUGUUGGAUGCAAUCGAUGAAUGUGAAAUAAAUAUGGGGUCCACUUAAGUCCACGAAUGUUUGGUAAACAAGGUACUUACGGAGGUUUACGACUAUUAACACGAUUGUGGGAUAAUUACUGGAAAUAAAAUUAUGAUAUAUA